CCUUGUGGUCGGUGUACAGGUGGUGCAUGGCUGUCGUCAGCUCGUGUCGUGAGAUGUUGGGUUAAGUCCCGCAACGAGCGCAACCCUUGUCCUGUGUUGCCAGCGUGCCCUUCGGGGUGACGGGGACUCACAGGAGACCGCCGGGGUCAACUCGGAGGAAGGUGGGGACGACGUCAAGUCAUCAUGCCCCUUAUGUCUUGGGCUGCACACGUGCUACAAUGGCAGGUACAAUGAGCUGCGAUACCGUGAGGUGGAGCGAAUCUCAAAAAGCCUGUCUCAGUUCGGAUUGGGGUCUGCAACUCGACCCCAUGAAGUCGGAGUUGCUAGUAAUCGCAGAUCAGCAUUGCUGCGGUGAAUACGUUCCCGGGU
rnacentral:rRNA from 1 species